rnacentral:rRNA from 1 species
AGCAGCCGCGGUAAUUCCAGCUCCAAUAGCGUAUAUUAAAGUUGUUGCAGUUAAAAAGCUCGUAGUUGAAUUUCGGGGUUCUACCGUUGGUCGGGCUAUUGUCUGUACUGGCGUGUAGAAUUUCUACCUUCUGGGGAACUAUCAUGCUAUUAAUUUAGCGUGGUAGGAAACCAGAACCUUUACCUUGAAAAAAUUAGAGUGUUCAAAGCAGGCUUAUGUCUGAAUACAUUAGCAUGGAAUAAUAAAAUAGGAACGGUGGUCCUGUUUUGUUGGUUUCUGAAUCACCGUAAUGAUUAAUAGGGAUAGUUGGGGGCAUUAGUAUUCAAUUGUCAGAGGUGAAAUUCUUGGAUUUAUUGAAGACUAACUACUGCCGAAAGCAUUUGCCAAGGAUGUUUUCAUUAAUCAAGAACGAAAGUUAGGGGAUACGAAGACGAUCAGAUACCGUCGUAGUCUUAACCAUAAACUAUGCCGACUAGGGAUCGGGACGAUGUUAACUUUUCUGUACUCGGUUCGCGCCUUA